CCGCGUUAAUCGUAAAGUCACCGAAAGGUGAUGACACAAAGCUAUGGGUCUAAAGCCGUUAAAUCGGCCAUGAUUGCCAAGUUGCCAUA
rnacentral:ncRNA from 1 species